rnacentral:ncRNA from 1 species
CGCCGAUAAAGGCAAAAUUGGCUAAAGCCAAUGACGCAAAGCUACAGGGCCUUCCUUAGUUGCAGGACUAAGAUGGCAGCCAGCCGCCGAA